AAUCAACGCUGGCGGCGUGCCUAACACAUGCAAGUCGAACGCGAAAGGGGCUUCGGCCCUGAGUAGAGUGGCAAACGGGUGAGUAACACGUGGGUGACCUACCUUCGAGUGGGGGAUAACGUUCCGAAAGGAACGCUAAUACCGCAUAUUGUUCUGCCUUUCGAGAGGCGACGAUGAAAGCCGGGGAUCGCAAGACAUGGCGCUGGGAGAGGGGCCCGGGUCCGAUUAGCUAGUUGGUGGGGUAAAGGCCUACCAAGGCGACGAUCUGUAGCGGGUCUGAGAGGAUGAUCCGCCACACUGGGACUGAGACACGGCCCAGACUCCUACGGGAGGCAGCAGUGGGGAAUAUUGGACAAUGGGCGCAAGCCUGAUCCAGCCAUGCCGCGUGUGUGAAGAAGGCCUUAUGGUUGUAAAGCACUUUAAGCGAGGAGGAGGCUACUUUAGAUAAUACCUAGAGAUAGUGGACGUUACUCGCAGAAUAAGCACCGGCUAACUCUGUGCCAGCCGCCGCCGUAAUAC
rnacentral:rRNA from 1 species